rnacentral:tRNA from 1 species
CAGAAUUUAGUUUAAUGAAUAAUCACUUUGGGGGUGAGAGGAUUAGUAUUUCUGA